UCCCUUAGAUGUUCUGGGCCGCACGCGCGCUACACUGAUGCAUUCAACGAGUUUCUUCCUGGUCCGAGAGGAAUGGGUAACCUUUUGAAAGUGCAUCGUGAUAGGGAUAGACUAUUGCAAUUAUUGGUCUUCAACGAGGAAUUCCUAGUAGACGUAGUUCAUCAGACUGCAUCGAUUACGUCCCUGCCCUUUGUACACACCGCCCGUCGCUACUACCGAUUGAAUGGUUUAGUGAGAUCUUCGGAUUGGCGCCACUGCGGCUCAGCAAUGGGCUCGGUGGAUGCCGAAAAGUUGAUCAAACUUGAUCAUUUAGAGGAAGUAAAAGUCGUAACA
rnacentral:rRNA from 1 species